rnacentral:rRNA from 1 species
GACGUAGGGGGCCAGCGUUGCUCGGAAUAACUGGGCGUAAAGGGUCCGUAGGCGGUGCGGCAAGUCGGAAGUGAAAUCUCUGGGCUUAACUCAGAGGCUGCUUCCGAAACUGCCGUGCUCGAGUGUGGGAGAGGCGAGUGGAAUUGCAGGUGUAGCGGUGAAAUGCGUAGAUAUCUGCAGGAACACCAGAGGCGAAGGCGGCUCGCUGGACCACAACUGACGCUGAGGGACGAAAGCUAGGGGAGCAAACAGG